rnacentral:rRNA from 1 species
GGUCGCUACAGGUCGUUUGAGGUAACCUCGUCGUAUCGAGGCAACCUAAUCUUGUAGUUGGUCUGAAUGACGUUUUAACGCGACGUGAGUGGCGAACGGGUGAGUAACACGUGGGUAACCUGCCCAGAAGUAGGGGAUAACACCUGGAAACAGAUGCUAAUACCGUAUAACAGAGAAAACCGCAUGGUUUUCUUUUAAAAGAUGGCUCUGCUAUCACUUCUGGAUGGACCCGCGGCGUAUUAGCUAGUUGGUGAGGUAAAGGCUCACCAAGGCAGUGAUACGUAGCCGACCUGAGAGGGUAAUCGGCCACAUUGGGACUGAGACACGGCCCAGACUCCUACGGGAGGCAGCAGUAGGGAAUCUUCCACAAUGGACGCAAGUCUGAUGGAGCAACGCCGCGUGAGUGAAGAAGGGUUUCGGCUCGUAAAGCUCUGUUGUUAAAGAAGAACGUGGGUAAGAGUAACUGUUUACCCAGUGACGGUAUUUAACCAGAAAGCCACGGCUAACUACGUGCCAGCAGCCGCGGUAAUACGUAGGUGGCAAGCGUUAUCCGGAUUUAUUGGGCGUAAAGCGAGCGCAGGCGGUCUUUUAAGUCUAAUGUGAAAGCCUUCGGCUCAACCGAAGAAGUGCAUUGGAAACUGGGAGACUUGAGUGCAGAAGAGGACAGUGGAACUCCAUGUGUAGCGGUGAAAUGCGUAGAUAUAUGGAAGAACACCAGUGGCGAAGGCGGCUGUCUGGUCUGCAACUGACGCUGAGGCUCGAAAGCAUGGGUAGCGAACAGGAUUAGAUACCCUGGUAGUCCAUGCCGUAAACGAUGAUUACUAAGUGUUGGAGGGUUUCCGCCCUUCAGUGCUGCAGCUAACGCAUUAAGUAAUCCGCCUGGGGAGUACGACCGCAAGGUUGAAACUCAAAAGAAUUGACGGGGGCCCGCACAAGCGGUGGAGCAUGUGGUUUAAUUCGAAGCUACGCGAAGAACCUUACCAGGUCUUGACAUCUUCUGACAGUCUAAGAGAUUAGAGGUUCCCUUCGGGGACAGAAUGACAGGUGGUGCAUGGUUGUCGUCAGCUCGUGUCGUGAGAUGUUGGGUUAAGUCCCGCAACGAGCGCAACCCUUAUUACUAGUUGCCAGCAUUAAGUUGGGCACUCUAGUGAGACUGCCGGUGACAAACCGGAGGAAGGUGGGGACGACGUCAAAUCAUCAUGCCCCUUAUGACCUGGGCUACACACGUGCUACAAUGGAUGGUACAACGAGUCGCGAGACCGCGAGGUUAAGCUAAUCUCUUAAAACCAUUCUCAGUUCGGACUGUAGGCUGCAACUCGCCUACACGAAGUCGGAAUCGCUAGUAAUCGCGGAUCAGCAUGCCGCGGUGAAUACGUUCCCGGGCCUUGUACACGCCGCCCGUCACGCCAUAAGAACAUACAACACCCAGAAGUUCAGCAUCACCAACUAGUCGCAACGAGGCCACAGAGCGAACUCU